CACGUGGGCAAUCUGCCCUUCACUCUGGGACAAGCCCUGGAAACGGGGUCUAAUACCGGAUAUGACGCGCGACCGCAUGGUCUGUGCGUGGAAAGCUCCGGCGGUGAAGGAUGAGCCCGCGGCCUAUCAGCUUGUUGGUGAGGUAGUGGCUCACCAAGGCGACGACGGGUAGCCGGCCUGAGAGGGCGACCGGCCACACUGGGACUGAGACACGGCCCAGACUCCUACGGGAGGCAGCAGUGGGGAAUAUUGCACAAUGGGCGAAAGCCUGAUGCAGCGACGCCGCGUGAGGGAUGACGGCCUUCGGGUUGUAAACCUCUUUCAGCAGGGAAGAAGCGCAAGUGACGGUACCUGCAGAAGAAGCGCCGGCUAACUACGUGCCAGCAGCCGCGGUAAUACGUAGGGCGCGAGCGUUGUCCGGAAUUAUUGGGCGUAAAGAGCUCGUAGGCGGCUUGUCGCGUCGGAUGUGAAAGCCCGGGGCUUAACCCCGGGUCUGCAUUCGAUACGGGCAGGCUAGAGUUCGGUAGGGGAGAUCGGAAUUCCUGGUGUAGCGGUGAAAUGCGCAGAUAUCAGGAGGAACACCGGUGGCGAAGGCGGAUCUCUGGGCCGAUACUGACGCUGAGGAGCGAAAGCGUGGGGAGCGAACAGGAUUAGAUACCCUGGUAGUCCACGCCGUAAACGUUGGGAACUAGGUGUGGGCGACAUUCCACG
rnacentral:rRNA from 1 species